UCUUAACUCUCUCUUAAAGAAAACGCUCUGCAACUUCUCUCCUCUCCAUCAUCCCCACCACUCUCACGACCAACAUUGACCGGAGAAGACGGUGGCGGUCGGCCAACCGCGGUGGCGCCGCCGUCUCCUCCGGCGAACAACCACCCUAAACCCAACAUUUCAAACGUGAACCCUAAUUUAUUUUGGCCACUCUUUCCGAAUCCGACCUUGUUUUCUUCAAAUUCCUUCUCUAAUGUUCGGAUUGGGACCCAAAAGGAGGAGAAAAAAACUUAAACCCUAAUAUUGUCUCCCUCUCUCGCACGGCUACCAAACCCUAAAUCAUCCUCCAAACGAAACAAAACUUAAACACUAACUACCAGUUGCUGAAAACUCAAACCCUAAAUCCAAAAUUGGAUCCUCCAUAGUUAUGCUUCGAAGAAGUUAAUAAUGGGGCUUUGCUCGGUACAACGAGGCGAAAAAUAAAGAUGCAAAGGUUUGAAUGAAAAGAAGAAUAUUUACUUGGGUGGAUUGCAAACGUCGGCGACGCUCCCUCUCGUUUCAGAUAAAUUUCGGCUCCCUCUGUUCUUUUAUGCUUUUCCUUUAUUUUUUCUUUGGGUGUUGUUGUUGUUUCGUUUUGUUGUUUAGGGUUUUGGAUGUUCUAUUUUAUUGCUGAUUGUUUCUUGAUUUUUUUAGAACAUAUGCUUUGGUUGUUCUGUUGGACUUUUAGAACCGUGUCCUGUUUGGUUUGUGGUUUAUCAGAGAAAAAUAUUUUAACAAUUUCUUCUGGAUUUUCCCAAUGUAUCCCACUGUUAAUUGAUUUCUUGUUUAUAUAUGUGAAUUAUGUUUUUUUUAGAUCACUUGUUGAAUCCCAUUUCCAGAUUUUGUGGGAUAUUUGCUUUGUGGAUUUAAGGUUGUUUUGGAUUGAAUAUUGGGAUGUAUUUUGAGCGCUCACUUUGGUUCAAUGUGUGAAGUGAUGUUGAUUAGGAAAGAAAAGGGGCGCUGCUAUUGGAACUAUGGGGCGCUGCAAUUACAAGUCACUAGCUUUGGAACCAAGUCUCUGAAGACCUGCUGCCUUAAAUUUCUCCACUUUACAGCUUAUCCAAUUUUCAACUUUAUUUUCUUUUUACUCAGAAUUUUGUACUUAGUGUUUGGACUUAACUAUGUAACCUUUGGAUUAAUCAUGUAAUCUCGUUGGACUUUUGUGAGAUUUGCACAAUUUUAAAUUUAAGUUCUCUUUAAUUA